UACAGAGGAGCCAAGCGUUGUCCGGAAUUACUGGGCGUAAAGAGCUCGUAGGUGGUUUGUCGCGUUGUUCGUGAAAACUCACAGCUUAACUGUGGGCGUGCGGGCGAUACGGGCAGACUGGAGUACUGCAGGGGAGACUGGAAUUCCUGGUGUAGCGGUGGAAUGCGCAGAUAUCAGGAGGAACACCGGUGGCGAAGGCGGGUCUCUGGGCAGUAACUGACGCUGAGGAGCGAAAGCGUGGGGAGCGAACAGG
rnacentral:rRNA from 1 species